AGUAUUUGAAUCAAAUCGAUUGAGUUCCAAAAUGAGAGCAGUAAUUAAUACGGUAAAAGAAAUUAUAAAAAAGAAAGAUAAACUACUUAUAAUUGUUUCGGAAUGGUUAAGCAUGUUUGAAAUUCUUGGAUCUCAUUUAUCUACGAUAAAAAGAGCUACGUAUUCUUAAGUUUCAAGCAAAGUUCCUAUUAAACAUUAACAAGUAAAAGAUUAUUCUUAUUAUUUGAUUUAUAAUUAAUGUAGAAAGGAAAAUUAGUUUGUAGUGGUCCCCGAAGUGGGUCCCAGUCACCACAACACAGCACGUCCUCAGGUUGCGGAUAAAGGAAGGGCCUAUUGGUCCUGCAUAGGGACGGAGAUUAGCUGCGAAUAAAUUGAAUAAACAGUCGCGAAUAGCCGACUUGAAAUUGGCCUUCUUUCGGGGGUUGGGCGUAGGUCUGAUUAGCCCACACCGUAAAACGACUUUUAUCACGAAACAAUGAAAACCGCCAAACAAAAGCGAUAUCCGACGAAAAUCUAAGAAUGCUUUUUGCAAAAAAAAAAAAAACACACAACACACAAUUAUUAAAGCAUUAUUAAUACAGGAAUGAAAUAUUCUUUUAUAACUUGUUAAGAUAUCCUUUUACAGUUUCAAUGUGUUAUCUCAUAGUAGUAUAACUCAUCACAUGCAUAACAAACAUAUCAUAUUAUUGGAUAUUUUUAUAUAGCAAUGAUAUGGCUGUGGCUCUCAUUUCGUAUAAAUAAAUAAAUAUAUAAAUAAUCUAAUGAUAGAUUGAAUGUUAUUAUUUCCAUGUGUAUGAAAUAACACGAUUUGUGAAUAUACUGUGAAUUUAUAAGAUGUACGUUGUUUAAGAAACUACAAGUUUAUUAAUUAUUAACAAUAAACGACUUACAACGAUGUACCUUUGCGUUUAGAGAACACCAUAUAUAGAUUACUGUAUAUUUAUUCAGCUGACGAAGAAGACAGAGACAGUGUUUCUAACAAUCAAAGAAAUUUCUCUCUCUCUCUCUCUCUCUUCUCUCCCUCAUUCAAUGAUACUUUUAAACUUAUCAUACUGUCGCAUUUUAUUUGUUAUUCAUUCUAUUAAGAAAUAUGUAUUAUUAUCAAUUUUCA